GAUGAACGCUGGCGGCGUGCCUAACACAUGCAAGUCGAACGGAGUUUACUGGAUGAAGCCUAGCGAUUCUAGUAAACUUAGUGGCGGACGGGUGAGUAACGCGUGGAUAACCUGCCUCACACAGUGGGAUAACAGUUAGAAAUGACUGCUAAUACCGCAUAAGCCCACAGCACCGCAUGGUGCAGGGGGAAAAGAUUUUANCGGUGUGAGAUGGAUCCGCGUCUGAUUAGCUAGUUGGCGGGGUAACGGCCCACCAAGGCGAUGAUCAGUAGCCGGCCUGAGAGGUGAACGGCACAUUGGGACUGAGACACGGGCCCAAACUCCUACGGGAGCAGCAGUGGGGAA
rnacentral:rRNA from 1 species